rnacentral:ncRNA from 1 species
CACCACCUGUCACUACUACCAAUUGGGUGGUUUAGUGAGGCCCUUGGAUCAGCCCAAUUGGGCUGGCCCAUGGCCCUGGUGGAGCGCUGAGAAGAUGGUCAAACUUGACUAUCUAGAGGAAGUAAAAGUCAUAACAACGUUUCCAUAGGUGAAAGUCCAGAAG